rnacentral:rRNA from 1 species
CCUACGGGAGGCAGCAGUGGGGGAUAUUGGACAAUGGGGGGAACCCUGAUCCAGCGACGCCGCGUGAGUGAAGAAGUAUUUCGGUAUGUAAAGCUCUGUCAGCAGGGAAGAAAGAAAUGACGGUACCUGACCAAGAAGCCCCGGCUAACUACGUGCCAGCAGCCGCGGUAAUACGUAGGGGGCAAGCGUUAUCCGGAAUUACUGGGUGUAAAGGGAGCGUAGACGGUUAAGUAAGUCUGGAGUGAAAGGCCGGGGCCCAACCCCGGGACUGCUCUGGAAACUAUUGAACUUGAGUGCAGGAGAGGUAAGCGGAAUUCCUAGUGUAGCGGUGAAAUGCGUAGAUAUUAGGAGGAACACCAGUGGCGAAGGCAGCGUACCGGCACCAGACUGACGCUGAGGCACGAAAGCGUGGGGAUCGAACAGGAUUAGAUACCCUUGUAGUC